UACGUAGGGCGCAAGCGUUGUCCGGAAUUAUUGGGCGUAAAGAGCUCGUAGGUGGCGUGUCACGUCGGGUGUGAAAGCCCGGGGCUUAACCCCGGGUCUGCAUUCGAUACGGGCUAGCUAGAGUGUGGUAGGGGAGAUCGGAAUUCCUGGUGUAGCGGUGAAAUGCGCAGAUAUCAGGAGGAACACCGGUGGCGAAGGCGGAUCUCUGGGCCAUUACUGACGCUGAGGGGCGAAAGCGUGGGGAGCGAACAGG
rnacentral:rRNA from 1 species